rnacentral:rRNA from 1 species
AGGACGAACGCUGGCGGCGUGCUUCGUACAUGCAAGUCGAACGAGAAUCUGGAGCUUGCUUCAGAGGAAAGUGGCGGACGGGUGAGUAAUAUGUAGAGAAUCUGCCCUUGAGCGGGGGACAACAGAGGGAAACUUCUGCUAAUACCCCAUAUGAGCUUAGUUGAAAUACUAAUCUUGAAAAACUCCGGUGCUCAAGGAUGAGUCUGCAUCUGAUUAGCUUGUUGGCGGUGUAAUGGACCACCAAGGCGACGAUCAGUAGCUGGUUUGAGAGGAUGAUCAGCCACAAUGGGACUGAGACACGGCCCAUACUCCUACGGGAGGCAGCAGUAGGGAAUUCUGCGCAAUGGGCGAAAGCCUGACGCAGCAACGCCGCGUGAACGAUUAAGCCCUUCGGGGUGUAAAGUUCUGUCAGUAGGGACGAAUUUUGACGGUACCUACAGAGGAAGCACCGGCUAACUCCGUGCCAGCAGCGGC